UUCGUGAAGAAGAUUCUUGGCCGCAAGCUGAGAAUUUAGGAGCAAGUGCCUGAUGUUUUUGGAGGCUCUCCAGCGCACUUCCACGACCAACACCUGAGCCACCUACGUCGGCUCCAACACAUCCGCACUGCAACGACAUCCACAUCAUAAGCUCCAAGAUUAUGUUUAGCUAUUUCUUUAUAGAGUUGAGUCUAUUUUAAGUCUUGUUAUCGAGUCGGUUAUUAUUUUCAUCCAGGUUUUCUUUGUGCUUCUUUCCCGGAUCAGAUUAUGAGAGUCGAACCACAUAGGUUUAGCCCUGUUUUUCCAUUUGUAAGUUGAGCAAUACGAACUCAUCUUUUCUGGCCUGUAUCAUAUAUAUAUCUUCGUGAUAUUUUAUCAAUUUGUUUUCUUGUAGUAUAACUUAUAAUUCUCUUUUUUCAAAUGCCCACAAUUGAAUGUUGGUGGAUU